UACGUAGGGGGCUAGCGUUGUCCGGAAUCAUUGGGCGUAAAGAGCGUGUAGGCGGCCCGGUAAGUCCGCUGUAAAAGUCAAAGGCUCAACCUUUGAAUGUCAGUGGAUACUGCCGGGCUAGAGUCCGGAAGAGGCGAGUGGAAUUCCUGGUGUAGCGGUGGAAUGCGCAGAUAUCAGGAAGAACACCAACGGCGAAGGCAGCUCGCUGGGACGGUACUGACGCUGAGACGCGAAAGCGUGGGGAGCGAACAGG
rnacentral:rRNA from 1 species